rnacentral:rRNA from 1 species
AUACGGAGGGUGCAAGCGUUAUUCGGAAUUAUUGGGCGUAAAGGGCGCGCAGGCGGUUUUGUAAGUCAGAUGUGAAAGCCCGGGGCUUAACCCCGGAAGUGCAUUUGAUACUGCGAGACUUGAGUAUGGGAGGGGGAAGUGGAAUUCCUGGUGUAGAGGUGAAAUUCGUAGAUAUCAGGAGGAACACCAGUGGCGAAGGCGACUUCCUGGACCAAUACUGACGCUGAGGCGCGAAGGCGUGGGGAGCAAACAGGAUUAGAUACCCUGGUAGUCCACGCAGUAAACGGUGAGAACUAGGUGUAGCGGGUAUUGACCCCUGCUGUGCCGCAGUUAACGCAUUAAGUUCUCCGCCUGGGGAGUACGAUCGCAAGAUUAAA